rnacentral:rRNA from 1 species
UGUCUUUAACUGAUAUGACGAGCUUGCUCUGAUGUGAUUUUAUCUGACAAAGAGUGGCGAACGGGUGAGUAACACGUGGGUAACCUACCUCUUAGCAGGGGAUAACAUUUGGAAACAAGUGCUAAUACCGUAUAAUACCAACAACCGCAUGGUUGUUGGUUGAAAGAUGGUUCUGCUAUCACUAAGAGAUGGACCCGCGGUGCAUUAGCUAGUUGGUAAGGUAACGGCUUACCAAGGCAAUGAUGCAUAGCCGAGUUGAGAGACUGAUCGGCCACAAUGGGACUGAGACACGGCCCAUACUCCUACGGGAGGCAGCAGUAGGGAAUCUUCCACAAUGGGCGCAAGCCUGAUGGAGCAACGCCGCGUGUGUGAUGAAGGGUUUCGGCUCGUAAAACACUGUUAUAAGAGAAGAACGGCACUGAGAGUAACUGUUCAGUGUGUGACGGUAUCUUACCAGAAAGGAACGGCUAAAUACGUGCCAGCAGCCGCGGUAAUACGUAUGUUCCAAGCGUUAUCCGGAUUUAUUGGGCGUAAAGCGAGCGCAGACGGUUAUUUAAGUCUGAAGUGAAAGCCCUCAGCUCAACUGAGGAAUGGCUUUGGAAACUGGAUGACUUGAGUGCAGUAGAGGAAAGUGGAACUCCAUGUGUAGCGGUGAAAUGCGUAGAUAUAUGGAAGAACACCAGUGGCGAAGGCGGCUUUCUGGACUGUAACUGACGUUGAGGCUCGAAAGUGUGGGUAGCAAACAGGAUUAGAUACCCUGGUAGUCCACACCGUAAACGAUGAGUGCUAGAUGUUCGAGGGUUUCCGCCCUUGAGUGUCGCAGCUAACGCAUUAAGCACUCCGCCUGGGGAGUACGACCGCAACGUUGAAACUCAAAGGAAUUGACAGGGACCCGCACAAGCGGUGGAGCAUGUGGUUUUAUUCGAAGCAACGCGAAGAACCUUACCAGGUCUUGACAUCCCGUGCUCAUCCUA